rnacentral:miRNA from 1 species
GGCCCAGAAUCGGGGUUUUGAGGGCGAGAUGUGUUUAUGUUUUAUCCAACUGGCCCACAAAGUCCCGCUUUUGGGGUCA